CAAUAGCGUAUAUUUAAGUUGUUGCAGUUAAAAGCUCGUAGUUGGAUUUGGGUGCGGCAGGCCGGUCCGCCGUUUCGGUGUGCACUGGCAGGCGGCAUCUUUCUGUCGAGGACGCGCUCCUGGUCUUAAUCGAUCGGGACGCGGAGUCGGCGCAGUUACUUUGAAAAAUUAGAGUGUUCAAAGCGGGCCUACGCUUGAAUAUAUUAGCAUGGAAUAACACCAUAGGACUCCUGUCCUAUUUCGUUGGUCUCGGGACGGGAGUAAUGAUUAAGAGGAACAGUUGGGGCGAUUCGUAUUUCAUUGUCAGAGGUGAAAUUCUUGGAUUUAUGAAAGACGAACUUCUGCGAAAGCAUUUGCCAAGGAUGUUUUCAUUAAUCAAGAACGAAAGUUGGGGCGUCGAAGAUGAUCAGAUACCG
rnacentral:rRNA from 1 species